rnacentral:rRNA from 1 species
AGAGUUUGAUCAUGGCUCAGGAUGAACGCUAGCUACAGGCUUAACACAUGCAAGUCGAGGGGGAACGACAUCGAAAGCUUGCUUUUGAUGGGCGUCGACCGGCGCACGGGUGAGUAAUGCGUAUCCAACCUGCCCACCACUUGGGGAUAACCUUGCGAAAGUAAGACUAAUACCCAAUGACGUCUCUAGAAGACAUCUGAAAGAGAUUAAAGAUUUAUCGGUGAUGGAUGGGGAUGCGUCUGAUUAGCUUGUUGGCGGGGUAACGGCCACCAAGGCGACGAUCAGUAGGGGUUCUGAGAGGAAGGUCCCCCACAUUGGAACUGAGACACGGUCCAAACUUCUACGGGAGGCA